rnacentral:rRNA from 1 species
UACGGAGGGUGCGAGCGUUGUCCGGAAUCACUGGGCGUAAAGGGCGCGUAGGCGGCUGGGGAAGUCGGCGGUGAAAGCCCGGAGCUCAACUCCGGGUCGGCCGUCGAGACUCCUCGGCUCGAGCUCACUAGAGGCAGAUGGAAUUCCGGGUGUAGCGGAGGAAUGCGUAGAGAUCCGGAAGAACACCGGUGGCGAAGGCGGUCUGCUGGGGUGAGGCUGACGCUGAGGCGCGACAGCGUGGGGAGCAAACAGG